UCCAGAGAUAGAUAUUCUCUGAUGUCAUUUAUUUAUAAUGAAUAAAUAUUUUACAGUGUGAUGAAUACUACAAUUCAUUGGGUAAUAUUUUUAUUUUCCCCAGAGUAACAUCUGAAAAUUAUUUUGGUACUUUAAAAUUUUUUAUGAAUAAUAAUUUAAAUUAACGAUAUACAUUGACUUAAUAAUUACUUUAUUAUGAGUAUUUAUUUUUGAUUUGUUUUGAACGAUUACUACAGCAUAUAUUUAUUUCUGGUUAGAACUUUGUCUUCUUAUUUUCUGUGAGAAAAAUUUCUCACCUGUGUUCGAAAUUUUUCUGAUGAGUGGAGGGAGUGUGUAACAUUCCUGUUUUCUUUGAGAAAAAUUUCUCACCUGUGUUCAAAAUUUUUCUGAUGGGUGAGAGGAGUGUGUAACGUUACAAACGUCACAUCUUUGAUAUUUUAUUUUUAAAAUAAUUAUUUUACCUUAUUUUCUUUAAUAUUUCAUUAAUAAUUAUCUUCUUCUAAUUGGUUUACCCAUUUUCCCCUUUAAAAAUCGGUUGGCGCUCUCUUUUAUUACCCUCUUUUAUUAUCUUCUAUUUAAUAUAUCUCUUUCAUUUAAAUCAUCAUACUGAACAUACAUCGUAUAUUCAUACUCUCCAAAUAUCUGUAUUUUCAAUACGGAACAUGCCGCUACUUCAUAGUACUUGGUUGUCAUUUUAAAUGUCGUUUUCAAUGACAGUGUCACUUCAUCGACUUGACCCCCUACUCCCUGACAUACACUGGAAGGGAAAAAUUAAUCCUUAAAAAGGCAUGUAAUUCGAAAAAUAAAUCAUUUCUAUUUCAUCAAAUCAUCUCUUGGGUUUUUUGGAAAGAAACCACUUUUCUCCCUCCGGGAGUUUCAACAACCCUCAAAUCGCCGGCGAUACAACAACGAGGACCAUGUCAUCAGGGCUGCAACCACAUAACCAAGACUGCAACGACCAACAUCCGUAGGCCUGGUGGAAUACAACACCUACAACCCCAGAGCCCGUUGCAGAACCAGCAGCAGUACCAUACGACAUCAAGAAGAUACCAUCAGCUACCAAAAGCCAUAAGUAUAAUCCAGAAUUGUUAGUUUUUGGCAAGAAUUUAAAUACAUUUGUUAAUGCAA